GCUGAAGCCAGCCCUGGAGACAGCCAUGGAGUCGUGCCUGCUGCAGACCACCCUGAAGAUCUGCCUGACGUCCCCAAGACACAACAGCCUUUAUACCAAACAGCAGAAGCACAUGGAGGACCUGGAGGCCGUGCUGAGGAGCCUGUUGGCCACCGCACCCAGCUUGGACAGGCUGCAGUUCCUUUGGGAGAGCACCUGACAUCCUGGUUGCAGUCUCCCAAUGCCAUAGACAGGGCGAAGGCCAUGAGGAGCAGCAGUGCCCUUCUCCACUUUGCUGUUUCCCUCCUCCCGCAGU